GGUAACUUCGUAUUCACCGUUAGGUUAUUGGAUCUCCCUAUUUGCAUGUAGUAGAGGCUGUGUUCAGUUGCCAUGGGAACCCAGACAGGCCAGAAGGAUGACAACAGGCAAUGGAGGGAUGGUGAGAGCUGGAAGAAACUCAACUGUCCCCCACAACAUGGCAAGCAGUAACACUGAUGUGGGACACAUAUUGGUCAAGGUUCAAGAGGAUCUUCAAGAGCUGAAAGAGGAAAUCUCACACAUCACAAUACAUGGUGAAACCGCAACAGUGGACAUUCAAACACUUGAAACAGCCAUUCGUAGGACUGAAAUGGGCCUAAAGAGUCAUGCAGCAGAAUACCUUAAUGUAAUCAAUAACCAAGUGUUGACCCUUCCUGCUUUGGAAUACAAAGAUAUGUCAGCUGCACACACUUUACCUGCUCCUAUUUCAAUGGGUGUCAACAAAAUAAUAAAGAAGCCUGUUGUCUACCCAUCUUUGAACAAAAAGUACCAUGGUAUCCAGCUAUGGAAUGCACCUGAAUAUAUCUCCCCUGGAACACAACACAAGCAUGCCAUGGAUAUGAGGAUUUUACGUGAUCCCACCAAUCCAAAGAACAGAAAUCUUUUACACCAGAACUAUGGGAUUCAGCUUCCUCUUAUUAAGAAUGAAAUACCUGAUAUACCUCCUCAAAAACUUAUUAAAGGUUCUACAGUGGGUACACUUGCCAUUUUGCCUGUUUCCCACCGUGAAAAUCCAUCACUCCUUCCUCCAUUUGUAUCUGAAAAAGAUGCAAGAAAAGGUAUUCUGAGUUUGAUUGAACGAGGUUUAAUUCCUCCAGCAUCUGAGCUGACUGUUGAUCCACCUUUUGUCCAAAACAGAGCAGCAAAGAUUCAUGAUAUUCAAGAGAAGCAUAGGAAACCAUCUCCUGAAAUAUUUGGUACUUACCCCAAAAAUUCUUACUGUAUAGUCGUUAGUGAGUCAUACACAGAGGAAAAAAAGUAUCCAGACAAGAACCCAGAGUCCAGGCUGCCUUUAAAGAUGGGCACUGUUACUCCUGCUCCUUCAUUCAUGUCCAGGACAUCAGCUAAGGACAUCAGUGCAGUUCAACACCUGCGUGGUAAAGAAAUGGUGCCCUUUGAAUUUCAUCAGCCAAAGCAGUUUCAAGUGUUGCCAAUUCAUCGGACCCAAGAAUUUUCAGAAACUUUCUAUGUUACAAUUUUCAAUGGCAAAAUAGAUUAUACUGCUCCAGACAUCCUGGUUUUCAAGCACCAUUACCAGUUAUACUGGGGACACAUCUUGUCCUUUCUGGAAUAUCUUGGGAGGAAACUAAGACAGUACGAUGUGCCAGUUGCCAUUGUAGAAGGUCAGAAGUUGGCAGAGAUUUCAGCUAUCUUUGAACUUAAUUCACAGCCCAACUGGAAGGACCUGCUUCCUGUGGUGAAAAAUAAAGAAUUGGUGGAAGAGAUCAUCAAGCGUCCAGGCCAGCAGUACAGAGGGCCAGAUGGCUUGGAAAUCGCAGCUACAAAAAUCCAGGCUAUCUGGAGGCAGUACCAGUGCAAGACCAAGUACCUCAUAGCUCGUCGCCAGAAGUGGGCAGCAGGUGUUAUUUCCAUCUCGUGGCUCAUGCGCGCUCAAAGGGUGCGGGUGAAGAAGACCCUAAAGCAGUCACGUCAGAGACACCUGGAAAAUUUUCACAGCAGGGCCAAGCAUCUGGCAGCCAACUGGAAUCGCAUCAAGGCCUCCAGGAGAACUAUUAUCCACAUCCCAUCAUUAGGGUAUGCCCAGUCAUUGCGAUCAUCUGUGCCCAAUAUAGAUACUCAACAGAACCUACAGAUGGGAAGGUUAUGUGACAUCAGGGAUGACAAUAUAGAUGUUAUCUAUAUUUGCCCCCUUUGGAUUGGUAAGGAUGUGACCCAAUACUACAUGAAACUACUUGGACUACAAGAAGCCAUCAAAACAGGGCAACCUGAGAAUGUAAUGAACGUGGAGGAUCGUCUCAAAGUCAUGACUCCUGAGGCAAUAAGCCGUUUUCCUAACCACCACUUGUGCCUGGCCACUCAUCUGAAAUACAGUCCCAAGACAAUAAAACGAAUAAAAAAUCUCAUUGAAGGCAAGGCUGCAUACAUCGUUGGCGGGCUGCUACACAAGGAUGACUUAGCUGUUGCAGAUAUGCUAAAUGUACCAAUUCUAGGCCCAGAGCCGGAAGUGGCCCAUCUGUACAGUAGCAAGUCUGGAAGCAAAAGAAUCUUUGCGAGUGCUACUGUGCCAGUGCCACCUGGGGAAUAUGAUAUAUACAGUCUUCAGCAGAUGCAUGAAGUUCUAACUCAACUUAUUCUCGAAAAUCUGGAAAUUAAGCGUUGGCUGUUCAAACUGGAUGUUGAAUUUGGCGGGAGAGGCACUGCAUAUUUUGAUGUCUUGCAUCUGAAGUGUUAUAAGCCGAUUCUGAAGGAAUUUAGGGAAAUUGGUCCUGCAGUAUGGCUUAAGAAGAAAUGGAUUCAGGAACCUGCUGAGUUGAAGUUAUCAAAGGAGUUGCCUGGAAUUUUGGCAGUGCAUGCACAACCAGUUAAUAAGAACAUAUUCCCAACAUGGGAGAAGUUCUUAGAGAUGUUCCUCUGUCAAGGUGGUGUGGUUGAGGCAUACCCUCCCUCAGACAGUGUUACCAACCUCACCAUUGACAUGCUCAUAGAACCAACAGGAGAGGUAUCAAUGGUUUCUUGUGGGGAUCAGAUCCAUUCCAAUAGCCCACUAGAAUGUUGGGGCACCACCGUACCACAAUGCUCUGUGGAUCCAGGCAACCUGCACUCGGUGUGUAUAAAGAUCGCUGAGGCCUGUAAAUGUAGAGGAGUGAUAGGCUUCUUCUCAAUUGACCUGGUGACCUUCAUACAUCCACUUACAAUGGAGCAGCAGGUCUGGGCCACAGACUUAGACCUGGCCUACAGUGACCAACUGGCCAUGACACAACUGAUGCUGUUCAUAUCUAACGGGAAGCUGAUCUGCAAAACCAAUACCUUCGAGGUGUCUCCCAAGCCCAGGGAGAAAAGGCAAACAUCACACAGGAAAGGAUCGGCGAUGAAAGAAGAAACACAAAUUCAACUUCCUUUUAUGAAACGUUACGGAGUGUUAAGCACACAGCUGAAACAUACCAAUUUAUCCAUCGUCCACUACAGUGUACUCUUCAAGAUUUUUAAAGUUCACGGGAUCGGUUUUGAUAUUAAGGAAAGACAAGGGACAGUAUUUAUACUUCAUGAAGAUAAUAAGAAGGAUCGCUUGGGGAUGGUAACAAUCGGGGAAGAUCUCCAGGGGGCUCUGCUGACCUUUGCUCGUAAUCUCUCUGUCAUUCAUCAGGAAAUAACAGCACCUAAUAUGCAAUUGGAGAACAAUUUUCAGGCGGCGAUCAAAGACAUUGAGUUAAUCCUUGGAGUUACAGUAGUGAACAAGUCCUACAUUAAAGAAGAUCACUCAACCACUGCAUUAAAGGCUCUAACUUGAAGAUCCUAAUUCAGAGAAACUGUAGCUAUGUACCAACAUUCUGGAUUACCUCAGCUCCAAUUCCAACUUUGUCACACUGGGAUGCUGGCCUACUGUCAAUGAUUCCAAAAAAAACCUGCAAUAUUAUUCAAUCAUUUUUUAAAUAUAGUUGGACCUAUAGAAGUAUGGAAGGAGUCCAAGAACAUCUGCUUUUCACAUCAGAUUAUUCUGAAAAUGAUCGUUAGCUCAAAGUCACAAUUAAAAUGUUCAAGAUGAGUUAAAAAGGACACAUUUUCCAUAUGUUGCCAGGCCUGCUGAAUUUCUCCAGCACUUUCUGUUCCUAAAUCGACUUUCCCUGAUCCCAGGAGCCAUAACGGAACUGCGACGAACUUAUCUUAAUUUUACUCAUUUUUAUUAUUAUGUAUGACUUCCAUCAUUGAUGUGUGCCAUGGUGAGGCAACUUAUAAAACUUUUCACUGUAUUUUUCAUGUAAAAGUACACGUGACAAUAAAUUUCUAUACUAUUCUAUUUUUAUUUCAGGUUUCCAGCAUCCAGAUUAUUCUACUUUUAUUUUGCCAUAAUGACUGACCUGUUUGGUGGACUCAAGAAACAAUAUUAGCAUUUAAUUUUAUAAGUUUUUUUUAUCAUUUAUUCAUUCAUGGGAUGUGAGGAUUGCUGUCUUGGUCAGCAUUUAUUGCCUAUUCCAGAUUACCCUGGAAAAGGUGGUGAUGAGUUGCCUUUUUGAACUGCCGAACAAACUGAUGGAGUACACAUAGAAUCUCUUGAAGGACAGAUAAUGUCGCGAUCUAUAAUUAUUUAAAUGUCCUACUCCUUAAACCUUAAAAAAGAUCAAGCUGCAGUUGUCAGUAAGAGUUUAAAAAUUCCUGAUGUACAACCUUCACUGACAGGAGAUCUGGUGUAAGUUAGAAAUUAGCAACUGUUUACUUUCCAUACAGUUCUUUGUUCACAUUUUCUCAAGGACUUUUAUUAUGUCAUUGUAAAUGCUUGCUGGGUAAGCUACAAUUUCUCAGCAGGGAGGAACUGUGUUCAGAGCUUGGUUGACAGUUUAGCAGGGCUAUUAAAGGAUUUGUCUCUUUGAUGUGAGAUCUAAAUAGGAGCUUGUUUGUUUUUAUAAGGCAUUAACUGCAAGAGAUUUAUAAGCUUUGAAUACAUUUCAUAAAUUGAAGUCUUUUCACUAUCAAGUGUGCACAGGUAAAAGCUAUGCUGGAUUUGUAAAAUGUUAAGUUUUUUUCAUCUCCACUUGACUUCUGAAGUCCACACAUGGAGGAAACUGAGUGAAUGGUUAUGAAGGAAGUAUUUGGGUGGGUGGGCCUGGUGCUAUGACGGGAUAUGGGCAGUGAGUAGAGAGUGAGAAAGUUAACACUUGGUAAAAUGACUGGAACAUAGUCUCUGAGGUUUGAAAUGGGCCUUCCAAACUGCCCACUUUGUCAUUUGCCCACCUCCCUGGGCUGCCUACCUCUCCUGUAGCUGCUUGUUAGGUCAGUGGACUUGGCAUUAUUCUGCCCCUGCCUCUCUGAAUUGAAAACUGAACAUGUCAGGCUCUUUUGGCAAGCCAGAAGAUUUCCUGAAAUGAGCUAUCCAAAACAAUAGUGAAAAUCCAAUGCUAAGUGCUAUUAUGCGAGCAUCUAUAGCUAAAUGAAGGAUUUACAGAUCUAAGGUAGCUCAACAAGGCAACAAUGUGUGUGCCAACUGCACCAAUAGGCUCCUAAUGUUAAGAGAAAACCUGGUUACAUUCAUCGUGAUAUAAUGUUAUUUGCUGUUGACAGUCAAAUGUGGCUUACCAUUGUAUUGGAGUUAUAUUUUGCACAGUGCAGAAUAAAGAAUCUAGUUCUGUCAGCUGAAGGUAUUCAACCUCGUGUUAUAGUAUAACUGGCCUAUAGGGAAUAUUAAGUAUUAAUUGUCACAAUUAUCUUCUGUUGGUUUAAUUGUAUCUUUGUAUACUUUUACAUUGUUUGUUACCAAAAUUUUAUUUUGACACCAUGUGUAGGGAGUUUUGCUUGUGUUUCUCAAUGAUGUUAAUGGAGAAGGGGCUGUACACUUAAUGGCUGUUUCUGACAGGUCGUUCUAAAGCUAACUAUCUAAACCAGGCCUGACUGAUGUGCUUGUCAAGACUGUUAUAAUGUUCAGGCAAUUCAAACGAAUAAAGCUUUCCUACAACAACAAAUUACUGACUGAUUCAUUCAAAUGAACCUUUUCCCUGAACAGACCAAUCUAAUUACCUGUACAUUAUCGUAUGUUCUUUCACAGAAAUUCUUCCUUGAGAUUGUUAGUG